CGGAGGUCUGUUGUAGGGGCCGGUCGGGCAGCGGAGGUCUGUUGUAGGUGCCGGCCGGGCAGCGGAGGUCUGUUGUAGGUGCCGGCCGGGCAGCGGAGGUCUGUUGUAGGGGCCGGUCGGCCAGCGGAGGUCUGUUGUAGGGGCCGGUCGGCCAGCGGAGGUCUGUUGUAGGGGCCGGUCGGCCAGCGGAGG